CCUACGGGAGGCAGCAGUGAGGAAUAUUGGUCAAUGGACGAGAGUCUGAACCAGCCAAGUAGCGUGAAGGAUGACUGCCCUAUGGGUUGUAAACUUCUUUUAUAUGGGAAUAAAAUGUUCCACGUGUGGCAUUUUGCAUGUACUAUAUGAAUAAGGAUCGGCUAACUCCGUGCCAGCAGCCGCGGUAAUACGGAGGAUCCGAGCGUUAUCCGGAUUUAUUGGGUUUAAAGGGAGCGUAGAUGGAUUGUUAAGUCAGUUGUGAAAGUUUGCGGCGCAACCGUAAAAUUGCAGUUGAAACUGGCAGUCUUGAGUACAGUAGAGGUAGGCGGAAUUCGUGGUGUAGCGGUGAAAUGCUUAGAUAUCACGAAGAACCCCGAUUGCGAAGGCAGCUUACUAGACUGCAACUGACACUGAGGCUCGAAAGUGUGGGGAUCAAACAGGAUUAGAUACCCUAGUAGUC
rnacentral:rRNA from 1 species